rnacentral:rRNA from 1 species
GCGAGUCAUUGUAGCAUACAAGGCAGACGGCUCAGUAACGCGUAGUCAAUCUACCCUAUGGACGGGAAUAACCUCGGGAAACUGAGAAUAAUGCCCGACAGAACAUUAUACCUGGAACGGUUUAUGUUUCAAAUGAUUUAUCGCCGUAGGAUGGGACUGCGGCCUAUCAGUUUGUUGGUGAGGUAAUGGCCCACCAAGACUAUUACAGGUACGGGCUCUGAGAGGAGUAGCCCGGAGAUGGGUACUGAGACACGGACCCAGGCCCUAUGGGGCGCAGCAGGCGAGAAAACUUUGCAAUGUGCGAAAGCACGACAAGGUUAAUCCGAGUGGUUUCUGCUAAAGAAACCUUUUGCUAGUCCUAGAAACACUAGUGAAUAAGGGGUGGGCAAGUUCUGGUGUCAGCCGCCGCGGUAAAACCAGCACCUCAAGUGGUCAGGAUGAUUAUUGGGCCUAAAGCAUCCGUAGCUCGUUUUGUAAGUUUUCGGUUAAAUCCAUACGCUUAACGUAUGGGCUGCCGGGAAUACUGCAUAACUAGGAAGUGGGAGAGGUAGACGGUACUCGGUAGGAAGGGGUAAAAUCCUUUGAUCUAUUGAUGACCACCUGUGGCGAAGGCGGUCUACCAGAACACGUUCGACGGUGAGGGAUGAAAGCUGGGGGAGCAAACCGGAUUAGAUACCCGGGUAGUCCCAGCUGUAAACUAUGCAAACUCAGUGAUGCAUUGGCUUGUGGCCAAUGCAGUGCUGCAGGGAAGCCGUUAAGUUUGCCGCCUGGGAAGUACGUACGCAAGUAUGAAACUUAAAGGAAUUGGCGGGGGAGCACCACAAGGGGUGAAGCCUGCGGU